rnacentral:rRNA from 1 species
GAUGAACGCUGGCGGCGUGCCUAAUACAUGCAAGUCGAGCGAACAGACGAGGAGCUUGCUCCUUUGACGUUAGCGGCGGACGGGUGAGUAACACGUGGGUAACCUACCUAUAAGACUGGGAUAACUUCGGGAAACCGGAGCUAAUACCGGAUAAUAUUUCGAACCGCAUGGUUCGAUAGUGAAAGAUGGCUUUGCUAUCACUUAUAGAUGGACCUGCGCCGUAUUAGCUAGUUGGUAAGGUAACGGCUUACCAAGGCAACGAUACGUAGCCGACCUGAGAGGGUGAUAGGCCACACUGGAACUGAGACACGGUCCAGACUCCUACGGGAGGCAGCAGUAGGGAAUCUUACGCAAUGGGCGAAAGCCUGACGGAGCAACGCCGAGUGAGUGAUGAAGGUCUUCGGAUCGUAAAACUCUGUUAUUAGGGAAGAACAAACGUGUAAGUAACUGUGCACGUCUUGACGGUACCUAAUCAGAAAGCCACGGCUAACUACGUG